UCUGCUUUGUGAAAAUUCAUCUAAGUAAAGACUUACUUAUUCCAGACAUUUCCUGCAGAUACACAGGCUUGCCUUCUUCACUCAUCAGCUAGGGACACUGUCGUGACCUGACUUUUGUCCAGGCUGAGGAAGGACAGGGAGCUGAUGAUCCAGCAGCCUAUUAUUUUGGAAAUGGCAAAUAACUAUGGACCAGCUGAACUUAAGAGGUCAUUCAAAGUAAUAAUACAGGGAACAGCUCCUGGCCAGGGUUGGUCUCUGAAAAAUGAACACCCCCACCCCCAAAAGGAGUGGCUUACAGAAGGCAGGCAGCUGAGAGGAAGGUCUGAGGAGACUAAAUAUCUACAGGUGCCUGAGCUUGUUUCUAUCCGAUGGCUAUAAACCUACUUGCUGCGUUGCCUUGACGUGGAUUCUUCACUGAUGGCCGCCAUUGGUGUCUUCUGGAAGUCAAGCAUACUGAUUUCUUCGCCCGCUGGAGCUCUGAAUGACUCCUUUGGAACAGAGCCCUUCCUAAGAGGCAGGACCCAUGUUAAGAUGAGGGAAACUGAGGCCCACAGAGUGAGUGCACAUGCCCUAUGACAGAAUAUAAACAAACAAAUAAACAAACCUUCAUAAUGAAUUUGAUGUUCUCAAGACAAAUGUUAAUGAAGAGCCCUGAAGGAAGUUGGAGAGUCUUCACUUACCAGCAGGAGUACCUGAAGCAGAGAGAUCACAGACUGAUCACUCCUAGUGGAGACAUUACACAGUGUCACAGCAGCUAGAGUGUCUUCCACUGAAGGUUGGUCACAAAGUGC